rnacentral:ncRNA from 1 species
UAUAAGUUUGAUUUUGGUUUUGGAUGUAUUAAGAUAGUAUUACUUAUUUUUAGUUUAUUUAAGUAUAAAUAUUUUUUGUAUAUUGGUAGUUUUUUUAUUGUUUUAUUAUUGUUCCAGAAUAAUCGGCUAUACAUUUUAAUUUUUAACUCUAUUUUUUGUUGUGUUUGAGAUUGAUUUUUUGUUUUUAUCUUAAUUUUUGUAAAAUGUUUUGGGUUGUUUUUUAUUUUUCUUAAAUUCUUGAAAUUUGUUUUUUGAACUGGAUUAGUACCCAGGUAAUCAAAUUUUAUUAAUACGGGAGUAAAGUUGUUUUUAAACCGAAAGAAUAUUGACUGAUUCUAGAUUUUUCUUUGGAACAUGUAUUUUGGAGAGCCCUCCUUUAUGUUAUUUUUUUUUGAUGCACGCAUGAUUGUUUAUUUUGAAUAUUAUUUAUAAUAUUUUAAAUUGGUUUUUUCAUUUUUAAAACAGAUAGAUAUUUGGUUUAUGAAGAUUUUUUUAUGUGUUACUAUUAUAAAUUUUUUGUUUUUGGAUUUUUGUUUUAAUUUUUUUAUGAAAUUGGAAAAGAAAGUAAUUUUGUUUUUAUGUUUUGAUGAAUUUUAAUAAGUGGAAUGGUACAAACCAUCCGUCAAUGGCCUAAAGGGGCGUAAGUUGUAGUAUGGUAGGGGUAAGGAAACUUGCCCCUAGGUUUA